AUUUAAAUAGCUUAUAUUAAAGAGCAUAAUAUUGAAGAUAUUAAGGAGAUUUUAAUAAUCUUUAAAUA
rnacentral:tRNA from 1 species